UCUUCCCCAGUCAUCUUUUGAGUGCCUUUCAAUCUGGGGGUGCUCAUCCUCCAGCACUAUAUCAGACAAUGUUCCGCUGCUAUUCAUAAGGUUUUCACUGGCUAAUGCUUUUCAGAAGUAGACUGCUGGGUCCUUCUUCCUAGUCUGUCUUAGUCUGGAAGCUCAGCUGAAACCUGUCCUCCAUGGGAGACCCUGCUGGUAUCUGAAUACUGGUGGCAUAGCUUCCAGCACCACAGCAACAUGCAAGCCCCCACAGUACGACAAACUGACAGACAUGUGGGGGUAAUCCUAGUUAGUGUGUGUAUAUUCAUAUUUUAUGUGAUUGCGAUGUGCUAUCCUAGAUGUGUGGGGGUCAUCACGUAAUAUGCAGUAUUACCUGUCUGAAAUCUGAAACAUUCUGAGUUCAGGAACCUGUCUGCCCCAAGGGUUUGGUAGUGAGAGUAUGGCCCUGCAUUGUCCUUAUGGAGAAACCACCGUUUAGCUCUGUUUUCAAAUCCUAUGAUCUAUUUGAAUGUGUUUAAUGAAACUAACUUAGCAUGGAUUGAGAUUUUGAUAAUGACAAGAUUCUUUAUGAAUGUUUUAGGAACAAAUUUUCACAAAUCAUAAACUCAGUUGUACAAAACUAUGCUUCCUUUAUUUCCUACCACUGAACUUAGUUUUUACCUCAAACCCCCAUCACCACCCGAUAGCAGAAAACUUCGGGUAAAUUUAGUUAAAUUAGUGAUUACUCAGUCACUUAAGUUAGUGGCUCAGUCAAUUCAAGAAAACAAGCCUACAAAUAUUGUCCUUUGCCCUUUCUCUUCCUGAAACAGGAAACUUUCAGAAGCUUCCCUCUCUGCCUACACUGUUUAACUCUUUCCUGCUGCCAGACCAUGCUGAUGUGGGACCGUGGUAUAUUCGAUAUUCUUCACCAACACCACAAUUCAAAGGCGUCAAUUCUUCUUCAGUCUUUUUAUUCAUUGUCCAGCUUUCACAUGCAUAUGAUGCGAUUGAAAAUACCACGGCUUGGGUCAGGCGCACCUUAGUCUUCAGGGUGACAUCUUUGCUCUUCAACACUUUGAAGACGCCCUUUGCAGCAGAUUUGCCCAGUGCAAUGUGUCUUUUGAUUUCUUGACUGCUGCUUCCAAGGCUGUGGAUUGUGGAUCCAAGUGAAACGAAAUCCUUGACAACUUCAAUCUUUUCUCUGUUUAUCAUGAUGUUGCUCAUUGGUCCAGUUGUGACGAUUUUUGAAGCACUUACUAAUGAAGAUCAAAGACCACAGCCUUCAGUAUGGAUUGCACCUGAACAUAAAGGAAACAAAAAGGUUCCUCUUAGAAGGUACUGAGGCAGACAGCCAUACGCAGUACCAGCACUUCUGGAGGGUAUUGUCCAGAGGUGGUAAUCGUCAUGCAAGCCAGCUAUCAGGAUUUAUUUCCCUAAACUCAAAGAAGGCAAAUGCAGUUGAACAGAUUGUGUUUCCAAUGGACACAGAAUCCCAGAUGUGAAACACUGACAAGAAGCUUGCAUAGGCACAAGGCCAAGUUCAUUUCAUUCUCAUUCAAUAUAAUGCACCCCUUCUAGAGAGUCACCGAUGGUGGAAAUAAGAAGAUUCACAGCUGUCGCUGCGACCUGCCAACUGUUCAUUUAUGCUCUGUUGUCCUUCCUGCAGAUAAAAUGUUUCUGUAAAAACAACAUAAUGGGUUUCUAAGUUUGGUUUGUUUAUAUUUAGGAACGAGUUGUAAUGUUAACAGAGCAUAAUCAGGACACAGCACUUAAUGUAGGAUGGUGGCUUAUCAAUCAUGUUUUGAUAUUAUCCAUCUGGUAACCAUUUUUUUCUUGGUAAGAUAUUUCCCCUAAAUAAGCGCAAUUAUCAUGCGUAAAGCAUGGGUCCUGGAUUCAGGUAGACUAGAUGUAACCCUGGCCACCUGUAUGAUCCCAGGCAGAUAAUUUAAGUACCUUGAACUUCUGUUUUUUCCCCUUUCACUAAAAGGGGAAUAAAAGCACCUAAUUUUCGGAGACGUAAAGAUAAAAUGAGAUAUAUGUACAUGUCCUUAUCGCAGUACCUAACAUACGCUGUUGCUAGUUGCCAUACAGUUGGCCAAAACUCACCGCGACCCCGUGUAGAACAGAACAACACAUUGCUCAGUCUCGCACCGUCUUCACUGUCAUUGGCAAGUCUGAGUCCAUUGUUUGUGGCCAUUGUGUAUUUCCAGUGUCUGCCAACCUAGGGGCUCAGGUUUAUCUCGCAGCACUAUAUCAGACAACGUUCUGUUGUGAUCCAUAAGGCUUUCACUAGCUGAUUUUCAGAAGUAGAUUACCAGGUCUUUCUUUCUAGUCUCUCUUGGUCUAGAAGCACUACUGAAACUUGUCCAGCUGGUAUUUGAGAUAUCAGUGGCAUAGUUUCCAGCACCAUAGCAACCUGCAAGCUACCACAGUAUGACAAACUGACAGACGGGCGAUGUAUCUAACAUAUAGUAGGCAUUGAACAAAUAUUAAUUUCUAUCCCCUGGUAAACUGUUUUGUGAUUAAAUACCAUAUUUCCUCAGGCCACCCUAGGCUGGAGGUAAAAAGAGGACCGCGAGAACACUGUAAAUGUCCCCACCAUGUUAUGCGGGGUCUUGCAAAUUCAAAGAAAAUCCUUCAAAGAAAUCCUCCCAGUCCUCAGGACUGUCUCACACAUGUUUAUGAGCACAGCUGUCUUGGCCCCCGCAUGGAGUUUGCUCUGUUCUUUUCUGCUUUAGCCGUGCAUGGCCAUUUGCUUCGGGGACUGACAGUCCCUGUGAAGUAGCUAUAAAAGUGUCAAGAGCCUCCUGGUGACCUUGGGGAGAUAUUGGGACAUACUCUCCUACCACUGCCAGCAGCCACUUCCUGUCGUUGCAGCUCCAGGUAUUGUGCAGUACCAUCACCACCCCCUUGCCAAAGUCACUAAUACUGCUUGCAUAGAGCACUAAGCUACUUCUGCCCUGAUGUGGAGAGAAUGUCUUUUUUGCCUUCAUAUUAAACUCUAUUCUUUUCAUUUAUAUUUUUAGCCCUUUUCUCCAUGAUUUCAUGGGGCCUGGGCCAGGGGAAAAUUUGACUAACUUGUAUCGAGCUGAAAAUAUGCCCUCCUUUCUAACACUGAAGCUUUA